AUACGGAGGGUGCAAGCGUUGUUCGGAAUUACUGGGCGUAAAGCGCGCGUAGGCGGUCUGUUAUGUCAGAUGUGAAAGUCCUCGGCUCAACCGGGGAAGUGCAUUUGAAACUGGCAGACUUGAGUACUGGAGGGGGUGGUGGAAUUCCCGGUGUAGAGGUGAAAUUCGUAGAUAUCGGGAGGAAUACCGGUGGCGAAGGCGACUACCUGGCCAGAUUCUGACACUGAGGUGCGAAAGCGUGGGGAGCAAACAGGAUUAGAAACCCCUGUAGUCC
rnacentral:rRNA from 1 species